rnacentral:snRNA from 1 species
AAACUGUGGGGAUCUAGCCACAACAUGUAUCACCCCAUUAAUCUCCAGGGUUGAUUUGGCUGAUCUGGCUGGCUAAGUGGGUGACCCCUUUCUCCCUGACCACUCCAUGUGUGUCCCUUUGAAGCUGUGAGCUUGGUCAAAGAUGACCUUCUUUAAUAGAGGAGGACUGUUCUUCAGUCAUGAGUAUAUAAGUGGCUGUGCUACCCUUUGAACAAGCUCUCAAACUGUGGGGAUCUUCCUCUGCUCUGUAGCCCAGA